ACCACAGCGAAAGCAUUUGCCAAGAAUGUUUUCAUUAAUCAAGAACGAAAGCGGAGGUUCGAAGACGAUCAGAUACCGUCGCAGUCUUAACAGUGAACU